UUCCUUUUCAAUCUUUUUUCUCCAAUCUUGUCUUCAUGCUUUAUUUCAUUAAGUUGAUCUUCAAUCUCUAAUAUCCUUUCUUCUGCUCAAUCGACUUGGCUAUUAAUACUUGUGUAUGCUUCAUGAAGUUCUCGUGCUGUGUUUUUCAGCUCCAUCAGGUUAUUUAUGUUCUUUUCUAAAGUGGUUAUUCUAGUUAUCAAUUCCUCUAACCUUUUUCAAGGUUCUUAGCUUCCCUGUGUUGUGUUAGAACAUGCUCCUUUAGCUCAGAGGUGUUUGUUACUACCCAUCUUUGGAAGCCUACUUCUGUCAACUCAUCAAACUCAUUCUCCAUCCGGUUUUGUUCCCUUGCUGGCAGGGAGUUGUAAUCCUUUGGAGGAGAAGAAAUGUUCUGGUUUUUGGAAUUUUCAGCCUUUUUGCUCUGGUUUUUCCUCACCUUUGUGGACCUAUCUAAUUUUGUUCUUUGAUGUUGGUGACCUUCAGAUGGGGUUUUUGGGUGGAUGUCCUUUUUGUUGAUGUUGAUGCUACUUCUUUCUGUUUGUUAGUUUUCCUUCUAACAGUCAGGACCCUCAGCUGCAGAUGUGCUGGAGUUUGCUGGAGGUCCACUCCAGACCCUGUUUGCCUGAGUAUCAUCAGUAGAUGCUGCAGAACAGCAAAGAUUACUGCCUGUUCUUUCUUCUGGAAGCUUUGUCCCAGAGGGGCAACAGCCAGGUGCCAGCUGGAGCUCUCCUGUAUGAGGUAUCUGUCGACCCCUGCUGGGAGGUGUCUCCCAGUCAGGAGGCACAGACAUCAGGGAGCCACUUUAGGAGGCAGUCUGUCCCUUAGCAGAAUUCAAGUGCUUUGCUGGGAGAUCUGCUGCUCUCUUCAGAGCCAGCAGGCAGGAACAUUUAAGCCUGCUGAAGCUGUGCCCACAACCGCCCUUUCCCCCUGGGACAGAUCCCAGGGAGAUGGGAGUUUUAUCUAAAAGCACCUGACUGGGGAUGCUGCCAUUCUUUCAGAGAUGCCCUGCCCAGCGAGGAGGAAUCUAGAGAAGCGGUCUGGCUAUAGCUGCUUUGCUGGGUUGUGAUGGGCUCUGCCCAGUUCAAACUUCCUGGUGGCUUUAUUUACACUGUGAAGGGAAAAGUGCCUACUCAAGCCUCAAUAGUGGCAGAUUCCCCUACCCCCACCAAGCUCGAGUGUCCCAGGUCGACUUCAGAGUGCUGUGCUGACAGUGAGAAUUUCAAGCCAGUGGAUCUUAGCUUCCUGGGCUUCAUGGGGGUGGGAUCCCCUGAGAUAGACCACUUGACACCCUGGCUUCAGCCCCGUUUCCAGGGGAGUGAAUAUUUCUGUCUUGCUGGCAUUCCAGGUGCCGCUGGGGUAUGGAAAAAAAAAAAAAAAAAAAAA
rnacentral:lncRNA from 1 species